AUUGAACGCUGGCGGCAUGCUUUAUACAUGCAAGUCGAACGGCAGCGCGGGCUUCGGCCUGGCGGCGAGUGGCGAACGGGUGAGUAAUACAUCGGAACGUGCCCAGUAGUGGGGGAUAGCUCGGCGAAAGCCGGAUUAAUACCGCAUACGACCUGAGGGUGAAAGCGGGGGAUCUUCGGACCUCGCGCUAUUGGAGCGGCCGAUGGCAGAUUAGCUAGUUGGUGGGGUAAAGGCCUACCAAGGCGACGAUCCGUAGCUGGUCUGAGAGGACGACCAGCCACACUGGGACUGAGACACGGCCCAGACUCCUACGGGAGGCAGCAGUGGGGAAUUUUGGACAAUGGGUGAAAGCCUGAUCCAGCAAUGCCGCGUGUGUGAUGAAGGCCUUCGGGUUGUAAAGCACUUUUGGCGGGAACGAAAAGGACUGUGCCAAUACCACGGUUCGAUGACGGUACCCGCAGAAUAAGCACCGGCUAACUACGUG
rnacentral:rRNA from 1 species